rnacentral:rRNA from 1 species
AAGUCUGGUGCCAGCAGCCGCGGUAAUUCCAGCUCCAAUAGCGUAUAUUAAAAUUGUUGCGUCUAAAAAGCUCGUAGUUUGAAAACUUGCCUUGGCUUACACUCGGUCCUCAUGGGCCACCGUUUGUUGAGCGCAAAUAUAGAUGACUGUUUUUGCCGACUUCAUUGUUGGGCUUAUAAGAGUUAUCAAAUAUCACUUUGAUUAAAUUAGAGUGCUUAAAGCAAGUGUGUUACUUGGAUAUAAAUGCAUGGAAUGAUGGAAUAUGUUGUUGUUCUAUUUGUUGGUUUUUGAACGAUGAAAUGAUUGAAAGGAACUGUUGGGGGCAUUCGUAUUGUUGUGAGAGAGGUGAAAUUCUUAGACCACAGCAAGACGAACUACUGCGAAAGCAUUUGCCAAGAAUGUUUUCAUUGAUCAAGAACGAAAGUUAGAGGUUCGAAGGCGAUCAGAUACCGCCCUAGUUCUAACCAUAA